UGAAAUGUGAAAAUCUUAUAUUACAUAAUAUAAAUUAAUAAUAUAUAAUUUUCUUAUAUAUUUUUGACAUUUUUAAAAAAAACUACUUUCACUUUCAAUUUAAUGUUUGGAAAUAGUUCCAAAUGAUGGUAACUAAUGAAUGAAAGCCUCACUUUCAAUUCCAAAGUAUAAAUGGAGGGAUUUUUUUAACAUAGGAAGCAGACCCAGGAGGAACUGUCUGUUGAAGACCCCCCCCCCCCACCAAGCUGCCCACCAGAGGCCAAGCUGUACUUGGUGUUUGCCAACAUGCUGUAAUUUCCAGCCUGGUUGCUGUAGCCACAGAGGAAUUUUCAAGGACAAGAACCAGUGCUGGUAAAACUGUGGUCUCUGUGGUUUUCCAUACCGGCUCUCGGCAAGGAUUUUCAAGAAAGGAAUACCAUCUCCAAAUCAUGAUGUGCCAAUAAGCUCCAGUUAGCUGCGGCCUUUUCCCCAGGCGGUAGUCCUGCAAUCUGAAUCCAGGAGAUGCAGCUCUGAAUCCAAUAUUUCAGAAGAAUGAAGAUGAAGCAGACCCAGGAGGAACUGUCUGUUGAAGACCCCCCCCCCC